rnacentral:lncRNA from 1 species
CAGUCUGCGAAACGUGAAACUACACGAGGAUGUAUGUUUUAAUGCCGCUGAUAUUUCUACUAUUUUGUGUAUUCUUUGCAUCAGCCGCUCCAACCACCUGUGUAGACAAAACAUGCAUUUCUACGGGGUAUGGAUGCGUACCAUUCAAGUUCUGCCAAGAAAAAGCAUCGCUGUGCCGAAAUAGCUGUAGAAGGCGGUCUUUUUGCUGCAAACUCAAACGAAUGAAGUCCUGCUCCUCGGCUGGAGGAACUUGUGAAAGACGAUGCGAAUUUGAAAACAACGGUAUCCAAUGCCCUGGACGACUGAAGUGCUGCGUUCAUUUGGAGCGCUGAGCCAACGCUGAGCAGCCAUUGCCGCAACUUGCCAACACGCUAGUCAUAAUGCCAGCUUGACCAACGAACACGACGACCUUAAUAAUCAUUAUCCAUAUCCUUCUACCGAUUCCGUGCUUCGAAUAAAAAGUGGCAAGUCCACAGAAAGAGCAUUAAAGUUUCAACAUGAAAGAA